CUCCUGAACCCAAGAAGGCUCUCCAGUCGUUUCCGGGGCUGGACAAGGUAGCUGUGACUCAGCUGAGCUGCAGAGUGAGCACUGGGGAGGGCCUGCUCACUGGCCCGUGGCCACGCUGGGGCCUCUGGCUGAGCGUGGCGAGCAGAUGUUCACCGUCCCCCGCCUGUUCUCGGGAGGGCGCUGUCUCACUGCGCCCACGGGUGACCCCGGGGAGGGCGAGCGUGGGCCGUUAGCCCAGGCUGCACGUGGUGGCCCGGUGCUCCGGGCGAAUGCAAAGGACUGCUCUGUACCAAGGGCCGCGGUGCUGUCAAUUGCUCCAGCACUAAAAGUAAUAAUUUUAAAGGGAAAGCUCACGAGUCCAGAAGGAGCCCAUCAACAGCACGAGAACACCAUCUGUGCUGCCUGGGCCCCCGGAGGCUGCGGACCGACAGCCUUUAUGGAAACAAACGAGCCUCCACAGGCCCACCUUGCCCGCCAGGGCCCGAGCAGGGGGAGGAGAGCUGGGAACGACUCCAUUACUUCAGCUCUAACAGAGGAAGACGUCUGGGAGCAGAGGUCGCCUGGCGGAAGAGGCAGCUUCCAAGAUGAGUUUUCUUCUUUGCUCUUUUCCUAAUAUUUGACUUUUUAUAGUGGAUUCAAAACUUUUUUUUUCAGCAACAACUUUGUGGCGUACACUUCUAAAUCACAAAACACUUAUCUACUUCUAUCUACUGGACAAUCACUCCCUGUUAUGGACUGAAUUAUGUCCCUUCCUAAAAUUCAUAGGUUGCAGACUUAACCUCCACCUCAGAAUGUGAGUAUAUUUGGAGACAGGGUCUUUAAAGAGGUAAUUAAGUUAGAUGAGAUCAUUAGGAGGCCCUAAUCCAAUAUGACUGAUGUCCUCAUAAGAGGAAGUUUGGACACACAGGAGACACCAGGGACGUGUGUACACAGAGAGAAGACCACGUGAGGACACAGGGAGGAGAUGGUCAUCUACAAGCCGAGGACCGAGGCUUCAGGGGAAACCAACCCUGCUGACAGCCUCCAGAACUGUGAGAGAAUAAAUUUCUGUUCUUGGACCGCCAGCCUCCAGAGCUGUGAGAGACUAACUUCUGUUGCUUAAGCCCCCCAGUCUGCGGUGAUUGCUAUGGCAGUCAGAACUGACUAACUCCGUCCUGAAGCUUCGACAGUUGAACAUGAUUUGGUCCAGUCAUCAUGGAGCUCCCAGUCCAAUGAGAGAGAAGACAAGCUAGCAAAUCACAGCAGUGCGGUCUGAUGAAUGCUCUGAGAGAGGGGCGCGAAGAACCGUGGAGAGCCGCGGGUGCAGGGGAGCACCCAGGGGGGAGGAGACACAGAAGUUUGAGAGAUGACCUUUGAGCAGAAUCAGGAAGAAUACUGGAGCAGAAUCAGGAAGAAUACUGGGCUAACAAGAGAGAAAGGCACCCC
rnacentral:lncRNA from 1 species